GGCUUAACACAUGCAAGUCGAACGAGAAACUAGACUUCGGUUUAGUGGAAAGUGGCAGACGGGUGAGUAACGCGUGGGAAUCUACCUUUGAGUGGGGAAUAACAACUAGAAAUGGUUGCUAAUACCGCAUAUACCCUACGGGGGAAAGACUUCGGUCGCUCUUAGAUGAGCCCGCGUACGAUUAGUUUGUUGGUGAGGUUAAGGCUCACCAAGACUACGAUCGUUAGCUGGUUUGAGAGGAUGAUCAGCCACACUGGGACUGAGACACGGCCCAGACUCCUACGGGAGGCAGCAGUGGGGAAUAUUGGACAAUGGGCGAAAGCCUGAUCCAGCCAUGCCGCGUGAGUGAAGAAGGCCUUAGGGUUGUAAAACUCUUUCGGCAGGGAAGGUAAUGACGGUACCUGCAGAAGAAGCUCCGGCUAACUCCGUGCCAGCAGCCGCGGUAAUACGGAGGGGGCAAGCGUUGCUCGGAAUUACUGGGCGUAAAGCGAGCGUAGGCGGUUAAUUUAGUUGGUGGUGAAAGCCCAGAGCUUAACUCUGGAACUGCCAUCACAACUGAUUGACUAGAGAUUGGUAGAGGAAAAUGGAAUUCCUAG
rnacentral:rRNA from 1 species